AGGUGCAUCGUGGACUCAAAUAU
rnacentral:miRNA from 1 species